rnacentral:snRNA from 1 species
AAAACAAAGCAUUGCGAUGGUCC